rnacentral:lncRNA from 1 species
AACAACCAAUUCGGAAGCAUUCCUAACCAAAAUAACCAAUUACAGAAGAAAUUCUCCAAUUCGGGUAAAACCAGAACAGCAAGGGUAAUUUCGACUUUUCUCAAGGUACGCUACUCCGAUUGACCUGAAAUUUUGCAGGCACCUCUAAAAUAUCAUUCCCUACAACUUUCAUGUUUUAAACCAAGGCCAAUUCGGCCUCUAACUAGGAGCUAUGAAACCGGGCAGAAUGUUAUCAUCAUAAACCCUAACUUUUCAAGAUUUCUUCCAAAACAGAAAUUGUUUGCAAUUAACCACUUUUUCCACCUCAUAGAGUCCUUAAACAUCAUUUCCAAUCAUCAUAUAUAGCCACACAAUCAUGUUCAUAUUAAAACAGAAAAAUCCCC